GGAGCAAGGGCCGGGACGCGUCCCGGCCCGGAGAGUACCCGGAGAAAAAGCAUCGGCUAACUCCGUGCCAGCAGCCGCGGUAAUACGGAGGAUGCGAGCGUUAUCCGGAUUUAUUGGGUUUAAAGGGUGCGUAGGCGGGCUUUUAAGUCAGCGGUAAAAAUUCGGGGCUCAACCCCGUCCGGCCGUUGAAACUGGGGGCCUUGAGUGGGCGAGAAGAAGGCGGAAUGCGUGGUGUAGCGGUGAAAUGCAUAGAUAUCACGCAGAACCCCGAUUGCGAAGGCAGCCUUCCGGCGCCCUACUGACGCUGAGGCACGAAAGUGCGGGGAUCGAACAGGAUUAGAUACCCUGGUAGUCCGCACAGUAAACGAUGGAUGCCAGCUGUCCGGGCCGAAUGGGGCCUGG
rnacentral:rRNA from 1 species